AUUGAACGCUGGCGGCAGGCCUAACACAUGCAAGUCGAACGAGUGGCGGAGGGGAGAGUAAGGUAUGGGAAACUGCCUGAUGGAGGGGGAAAACUACUGGAAAAGGUAGCUAAUACCGCAUACCAUCGGUUGGGCCGAGAUGGUAUUAGCUAGUAGGGGGGGUAACGGCUCACCAAGGCGAAGAUCCCUAGCUGGUCUGAGAGGAUGACCAGCCACACUGGAACUGAGACACGGUCCAGACUCCUACGGGAGGCAGCAGUGGGGAAUAUUGGACAAUGGGCGAAAGCCUGAUCCAGCCAUGCCGCGUGUAUGAAGAAGGCUUUCGGGUUGUAAAGCACUUUCAGCGGGGAGGCGUUACCCACAGAAGAAGCCCCGGCUAACUCCGUGCCAGCAGCCGCGGUAAUAC
rnacentral:rRNA from 1 species